CCUAAGACCGAGUGCACAGGACUAUGACCUAUGAAUUGACAGCCAGUCCUGCCAUGCCUUGGCUGUCAGUUCUGUAGGGCACAGGUAUGUUCACCUCCAUGACUUC
rnacentral:pre_miRNA from 11 species